rnacentral:sRNA from 12 species
CCUGUGGACCGUUACACAAACGAAAGUAGUCUAAAGGCGAAUACGUUUUUUGACAAAAUCGGAUGGGAUGAAGCAGGAA